rnacentral:rRNA from 1 species
CAGCCGCCACGGGAAUACGAAGGGUGCAAGCGUUAAUCGGAAUUACUGGGCGUAAAGCGCGCGUAGGUGGUUUGGUAAGAUGGAUGUGAAAUCCCCGGGCUCAACCUGGGAACUGCAUCCAUAACUGCCUGACUAGAGUACGGUAGAGGGUGGUGGAAUUUCCUGUGUAGCGGUGAAAUGCGUAGAUAUAGGAAGGAACACCAGUGGCGAAGGCGACCACCUGGACUGAUACUGACACUGAGGUGCGAAAGCGUGGGGAGCAAACAGGAUUAGAUACCCGCGUAGUCCCUGUCUCUUAUAA